rnacentral:rRNA from 1 species
CAUGGCUCAGAUUGAACGCUGGCGGCAGGCCUAACACAUGCAAGUCGAGCGGAAACGAGUUAUCUGAACCUUCGGGGGACGAUAACGGCGUCGAGCGGCGGACGGGUGAGUAAUGCCUAGGAAAUUGCCCUGGUGUGGGGGAUAACCAUUGGAAACGAUGGCUAAUACCGCAUAAUACCUUCGGGUCAAAGAGGGGGACCUUCGGGCCUCUCGCGUCAGGAUAUGCCUAGGUGGGAUUAGCUAGUUGGUGAGGUAAUGGCUCACCAAGGCGACGAUCCCUAGCUGGUCUGAGAGGAUGAUCAGCCACACUGGAACUGAGACACGGUCCAGACUCCUACGGGAGGCAGCAGUGGGGAAUAUUGCACAAUGGGCGCAAGCCUGAUGCAGCCAUGCC